GGCCUCUGAUCCACUAUGAGAUCCAAGCAUGGUAGAGACAGGGAGGCAUCUUGAAACUCUUCAAUCCAGCUUCACCCUCUUGCAGGUGAGAAAGUUUGAAGCAGAAGCUCUGAAGCCAGCAGAGGAAACUGGGAAGGAACAUGCAGAAAUGUCAGAGGGGAAUCACAGGGGCAUGAUGUCCUGGAAACUACAGGAGGAAAGUGUUCAAGAAAGUUCUCUGGGAGUAAGUUGGCUUGAGGAGCAGGGGUGGUGUGUCCUGCUCCAUAUAGUCCGUGGAGACAUAGCCCUUUUACGCUGUGGCUCUGUAAUACCUCUGCGCUUUGAACUCGAAGCUGAAUCGCCAGCAUCAGGCCUGCAGAUGGUGGAAGAGGAAGGAUCACCGGUGACAGCUUCUUCAUGGACCAGUGUCCUUCACCAACAUUCAACUGGCUGGAGCUUAAUCCCAUUGCGACGCCCAACAGCAAGGGAGGCUGUGACUUGUAGUCUGAAUCAUCCCUAGAAGGUGGUCCACAGGCUGGAGAAGCCCAAGGGAAGAAGGAUGCUGAGUUACGAUGGGUGGUCCUGAUGGUGCAAAGGCAGGGAAUGGACCGAGUAUCCAGGGUGAAUUUCCUGGCCGGAGAGGAGACGAUAACAAGGCUCCGAAGAGAAAACGAGAAAGGAGAACAAAGGAAAACACUGGUUGACACCACUCCAGAAAAGCUAUCUGACUGAUAUUUGCCAUGAUUGUGUCACAUGGUGCUGUGCUAAAUGGUUUCUAAGAUCUCUUCAACGUCUUGACAGUCUCUGGAGGUGAUGACUUUUGACUAAAUUGAAUUCUCUUCCUUUUCCCUGUGGGCCCCAUCAGUGCGCAAAGAAAGAGACUUUAGUAUCUCGUUGCUAGUGAAACAAGACAUUUGAAGACAAAACAUGGCCCCAAACUGGAGGCUCCUGAAUAACUGUGAUUGUCACGCACACAGUGGCUUCAGUUGUUUUGGAAAAACUUGAUCUGUCAAUGAGUCCAGAACGUGCUAGUUCAGUGGGGGAAAGAGGAUGGGAAAUACCGCCGCUAGGAGGGAACCGAGUCAUAUGACGCUGGAGGAUGUCUGAUGGGGCGCCGAAGAGCGCGAUUUCAAUGAACGCGGAACGCUUUUGUUUUUAUUUACAGGCAUCUGCCUGGAAGGGCUCUCCAGGCUAGACGCUAUCAAGUACAUCCUCUGGUUGGAGCCUCCAGGAGCUGCCUUUCCUCCUCCCUCCUCUCCGCACCUCUCCGCAGCUUAACCUCCCCAGUCAAAGCGCGGAUCGAUGUCACGGUGACAGAUCUUUUUCCUACCGUGAUAGUGUCUGUAAAUCAAAGCCCAUCAGGGUAGACCAGAAGCUCUGACGACACCACAUCAUCCUUUGCAAUUCCACCCGUGUCAAAGAACAAUAAGCAUGACUUUGGAGGAAAAUGUUUUUUGGAAAUAAAUUGAGGCAGUAUUUCAAAAAGG
rnacentral:lncRNA from 1 species